UAUUGGACAAUGGGCGAAAGCCUGAUCCAGCAAUGCCGCGUGAGUGAUGAAGGCCUUAGGGUUGUAAAGCACUUUCGGACGGAACGAAAUCGCGCGGGCGAAUAUCCCGCGUGGAUGACGGUACCGUAAGAAGAAGCACCGGCUAACUACGUGCCCGCAGCCGCGGUAAUACGGAGGGGGCUAGCGUUGUUCGGAAUUACUGGGCGUAAAGCGCGCGUAGGCGGCUUUGUAAGUUAGAGGUGAAAGCCCGGAGCUCAACUCCGGAACUGCCUUUAAGACUGCAUCGCUAGAAUUGUGGAGAGGUGAGUGGAAUUCCGAGUGUAGAGGUGAAAUUCGUAGAUAUUCGCAAGAACACCAGUGGCGAAGGCGGCUCACUGGCCCGAUACUGACGCUGAGGCACGAAAGCGUGGGGAGCAAAC
rnacentral:rRNA from 1 species